AGCACGUUAAAACGAAAUUGGACAUCAACUGACAUUUGCCCAAGAUGUGGCUCAAAGGAGGUGAGCGCAAGUGAGAGGAAAGAAAAAUGAAACACAUGCCCCCUGCAGGCAUUUCACCUUGGAGUGUGGCUCCUGCACAGCUUCCUCCAGGAGUGAAAAGGAAUUUUGCAGACCAAGACUCCGCCAAACUGGGUGAGCAAAAGGAGUGUAUUGGAGGUAGCUGGCGGAGUGAGAAUUUGAUGGCAGAAAGUCUAAACCUUGCGCCUCCUCAGACCACGUUGAACACUGGUACAGGGUACACACUUGGUGUAGCAUGACAUAUUUCAUUCAUACAUUUGUGAACAGUGGGAAUCAAAUCCUCUUAAUUAUUGCAUGAGAUAUUUUUUAAAUGAUUCCACUGGGUGGAACAGCCAAGGGGGAAGCACACGAACAAUCGGAGGUGGGGCGUGGUUUCCAAGUGCCCACUCAUGGAGCAAAUGCGUUUCUGCCAUAUCAAGACUCUAAUGCAAAUAGUACGAUGCAUUUAAAGGGAAUAAAAAGAACUGCUUUGAUUGGCCACUGUUAGGCUGUGACCACUCCCACAGUGGCGCAGCCCUCACUCUCGCUCUCUCUCAUAUUCAAACUUACCAACCGAGAGUCUGUACACAGUUAUGCUACACACUGCACAGUAUUUACGUAAAAAAAGACCCCAAAGGCUCAUGUGAUUUUACAACAGACACUUGCAGCCUGUAUUAUACUUAGUAAGACAUCACAGAAUGCAUGUGUUUAUUAUUCUUUUGGGUUACUCUCCAAGUAGGGAUAGAGAAGGUUCAAUGUCUCAGAAAAGUGAGAAAGUCACACAUACUCACAACAUAAUGACUGCAUUUAUGUUAGCACAGGAGAGUUCACUUGUCAUUUUUGGUGCAUCUAUUUCAGAUACAUAGAAGAAAAAAGUAUGCUUCAAGCUUUUUCAACAUUUGUUAAAAAAAUGAGAGAACAAAAGAGAAUGAGAGAGACAGAGCCCAGUCAUUUGGUAGCAAAUUCUCACUGGUGGUCCCCAGGAAAAUGGAAAAAAAAAAGUGUUUUUUUGGGGGGGAGGGUGCUGGGUGCUGAUGAAGUGCAAUCUUCAUAAGUCUACUGCUACACUCUUACAAUAGUGCAGUACUCCCACAGAAAAAUGAAACGCAUGGUGGCAUGUUAAAGUGUGUGCAAUUUUCACACUAUUGUAAAUAGAAAGUGUCUCUUUGCUGCAUUCACAAAUCAUUCAAGCCCAAACAUGUUUGUCGAUCCAUUCGGUUGUUUUGUUGGCGCUCGAAGAGUCAUUUGUCAUUGUGCCAAUCUAAACUAGCACUUCAGUCAACUAGACUCAAGGGGUAUUACUGGCAUGAAUAUUACGAUGGGUACAUUGUCUGAAAUAAAUGACGCUUCCACUGAGCACUUAUUGUCUCAUGUAAUCGAUUGCGAGGUAGCUUAUCUUACCAAAAUAUUAGAAACCAUUUCAGAAUGAUGCAGCACGUUUCUAAACGACAGCAAGCUACAAUCAAAAUAAUCAAAACAUCUUUUGAGGCUGAACUUUUCCAGUGCGUGCGCACGCCUGUAAGUUCGCAACUCAGAGCUUGUGAUGUCUGCCUUUGCAACACAACGCACAUGGCCGGGAAGUCAUUAUUUCUCAUACCAUCCACAGACACAAACCCAACACACUCAGUACAAGCAGGAACAAAUCUCAGUAGGUCGGAAAGGUUUCUGUAUUUAUAUGUUAAUAUGUAUGAAAUUUUUACCCUAAUGGUUCCUAAAAACAAUCCAGUAUAAAAAUGGUGUAGGAGGCCCAAGUGGUUAUCAGAAACAAGGUACAGGUUUUAUUUCUGAAAAGUGUAUUUAAUAUUA